rnacentral:rRNA from 1 species
AUUGAACGCUGGCGGCAGGCCUAACACAUGCAAGUCGAGCGAGCGGCGGACGGGUGAGUAAUGUCUGGGAAACUGCCUGAUGGAGGGGGAUAACUACUGGAAACGGUAGCUAAUACCGCAUACCAUCAGAUGUGCCCAGAUGGGAUUAGCUAGUAGGUGGGGUAAUGGCUCACCUAGGCGACGAUCCCUAGCUGGUCUGCGAGGAGGACCAGCCACGCUGGAACUGAGACACGGUCCAGACUCCUAAGGGAGGCAGAAGUGGGGAAUAUUGCAUAAGGUGCGCAAGCCUGAUGCAGCCAUGCCGCGUGUGUGAAGAAGGCCUUCGGGUUGUAAAGCACGUUCAGCGGGGAGGCGUUACCCGAAGAAGAAGCACCGGCUAACUCCGUGCCAGCAGCCGCGGUAAUAC